rnacentral:lncRNA from 1 species
AGGACUAUCUGAAAGGGCUUUGACAGGAGCACCACUUUAGUGCCUGAGGCAUCUUUUGCUCUGUCUGACCAAUUUUUUAGCUCAAGAUUUUCUUCUCAGUUACGACAAAAAAAAAAAAAAAUGUCUAACCAAAGACUAUCUGUGCUUUCUCCCCUCCUGUACUUCUGCUUCUUCAGAGAGAGUUUCUCCAUUUGUGAUGGAACAACGUGGACCAAGGUCGGAUGGGAGAUUUUUCCAGAGGAAGUGCACUACCUGAAAGUUAAGGUUCCCCCAUCCAGCUGCCUGCCUUACCCCCUGAACAAACUCUGCUGCAACUCUGCUAACACGGACCUACUACAGAGUUCCUUACACCUCGCUUACAUCUUAGUUCAAGCUCUCUGCUUAAUCCUGUUUGCUUUAUCUGUGCAUUACCUAUGGAUGAAAUGGACAAGACACCAAAAAAAGCUGAAAAAGCAAGCCUCCUUAGAGAAACAUGCUAACAACCUAGACCUGAGCCCAUCCAUCCAUGACAUUGAACAAAUCCUCUGCAGACUACUGGCCACAACAUCAAUGAUGACCAAGUUCCUGAAGCAGAUGUCUCACCAUUCUUCUGUUAAGAAAGCUAAGCAACAACGUAAACUAAGGAAGAAGAAGAGUAAAGACGGAGAGGAACAGGAGAACGCUGCUAUCCCUAAGCUCGUGCAAAUGUAGCUUGGUCAAGUGCGGAGAGGACAAAAGAAAUCUAUUGCAGGGACUGUCUGAGGACACAAAGGUUUCUUUGAUGGCUUGCUCUUUUUUUUUGUCACAAUCAUUACAGAAAAUUUUUCAGACGAGCUCUGGGUUUCUGCUCAACUGAAAAAGAAUCCACUCUUACUAAUGUGGCUCCCAGAAUAAACUGAGAAGACCUUGACUGGAA